GACGAACGCUGGCGGCGUGCUUAACACAUGCAAGUCGAACGGGAAGGCCCUGCUUUUGUGGGGUGCUCGAGUGGCGAACGGGUGAGUAACACGUGAGUAACCUGCCCUUGACUUUGGGAUAACUUCAGGAAACUGGGGCUAAUACCGGAUAGGAGCUCCUGCUGCAUGGUGGGGGUUGGAAAGUUUCGGCGGUUGGGGAUGGACUCGCGGCUUAUCAGCUUGUUGGUGGGGUAGUGGCUUACCAAGGCUUUGACGGGUAGCCGGCCUGAGAGGGUGACCGGCCACAUUGGGACUGAGAUACGGCCCAGACUCCUACGGGAGGCAGCAGUGGGGAAUAUUGCACAAUGGGCGGAAGCCUGAUGCAGCAACGCCGCGUGCGGGAUGACGGCCUUCGGGUUGUAUACCGCUUUCGCCUGUGACGAAGCGUGAGUGACGGUAAUGGGUAAAGAAGCACCGGCUAACUACGUG
rnacentral:rRNA from 1 species